GUGAGGAAUUUUCCGCAAUGGGCGAAAGCCUGACGGAGCAAUGUCGCGUGAAGGAUGAAGGCCUAUGGGUUGUAAACUUCUUUUCUCAGAAAAGAAUUAUGACGGUAUCUGAGGAAUAAGCAUCGGCUAACUCUGUGCCAGCAGCCGCGGUAAGACAGAGGAUGCAAGCGUUAUCCGGAAUGAUUGGGCGUAAAGCGUCUGUAGGUUGUUUAAAAAGUAUUCUGUCAAAGAUUAGGGCUUAACCCUAGAUAGGCAGAAUAAACUUUUAAGCUAGAGUUUGGUAGAGGCAGAGGGAAUUCCCGGUGGAGCGGUGAAAUGCGUAGAUAUCGGGAGGAACACCAAAGGCGAAGGCACUCUGCUGGGCCAAUACUAACACUGAGAGACGAAAGCGAGGGGAGCAAAUGGGAUUAGAAACCCCUGUAGUCC
rnacentral:rRNA from 1 species